CUGAGCCCACAAAUGUGUGUUUGGCUAAAGCCUCUCUUCCAGAAAAGUCAUCAAGUGUGGAUGUGAAGACUUCACAAGAUGGAGAACAUGGAGGUUACUGACCCGUAACUGGCAGUCCUUUGAGAUGUGUGGUAUCUAUCUAUAUUCCACAUGAUCUGCAUGAGACAGAUUUCUAGUAAUUAGUGACUGUUGGACUUCCACAGUUCUCCUCCUCAUGCUCUGACCGGACGGCAUAAGGAGCAGUGCAGACUGACACCUCUCCAAUUCCCCUUCUUACUGCAACUUGGGACGAGCCAAAGAAGAGGGAUAGGAGGGCAGGUCGUGAAAUACAGAUAGGGUCCACACAGCUUGAAGAAACUCUCAUUAUAGAUAAAAUGCCCAAACCUGUCUGACAUCAAGAGAAUGAAGUCUCUCCUCUCCUCGUUGGAGGCAUGAAAAUUUGGAAAGAAUACGUUGAUUCAUAUGACAUUCAAAAAUUAGCUUGGGGAUGAAUUUCAGGUGCAGCUGAGGAGAACCCCUUCUUGUGAAAAAUGAUGCUUCUGAAGACAACGACACAGGCAGUUCUAGGCUCAGAGGAUUCCAUCCCAGACUAUGUGGCGAUAAGAAGGACCUGGAGAGGUGCUGAUCCCCUAAUUACCUUAGUUCAAGGAGGACAAGU